UGGUCAUUACCAAGGCUUUUAGAAUGCAGUUUCUCAUUUGCUGUGGACAUGACCAUAAAGAAAAAUUCCCAUGAGGGUUUUCAUAUGCUACUUGACUAGCAGUUUAACCUGUUGGGAACAUGU
ensembl:snoRNA Gm22303 predicted gene, 22303